rnacentral:tRNA from 1 species
GGGCGCGUAGCUCAGCGGUAGAGCGCCAGCCCCAUAGGUCAGUCUCCGCAGGUUCGAGUCCUGCCGCGCCCA